rnacentral:snRNA from 1 species
GGAUGUGAGGGCGAUCUGGCUGCGACAUCUGUCACCCCAUUGAUCGCCAGGGUUGAUUCGGCUGAUCUGGCUGGCUAGGCGGGUGUCCCCUUCCUCCCUCACCGCUCCAUGUGCGUCCCUCCCGAAGCUGCGCGCUCGGUCGAAGAGGACGACCAUCCCCGAUAGAGGAGGACCGUUCUUCGGUCAAGGGUAUACGAGUAGCUGCGCUUCCCUGCUAGAACCUCCAAACAAGCUCUCAAUGUCCAUUUGUAGGAGAACGUAGGGUAGUCAAGCUUCCAAGACUCCAGACACAUCCAAAUGAGGCGCUGCAUGUGGCAGUCUGCCUUUCUUC